UACGAACUGUGCGAACGUUAUUCGGAAUCACUGGGCUUACAGGGUGCGUAGGCGGCUCAACAAGUCAGGUGUGAAAGCCCCCGGCUCAACCGGGGAACCGCGCUUGAAACUGUUAGGCUCGAGUCAGCUAGAGGUACACGGAACUUCCAGUGGAGCGGUGAAAUGUGUUGAUAUUGGAAGGAACACCGGAGGCGAAAGCGGUGUACUGGGGCUGGUCUGACGCUGAGGCACGAAAGCCAGGGGAGCGAACGGG
rnacentral:rRNA from 1 species